CGAAAUGGUGCGGAGGCGGGGCUAGGGUGGCCUCCCCGGUCGGUCGGCCGGGGAAGCCUGGUGCUGGGACUGCCCUGUAGACCUCCAACAGCAGGAGCUUCUGGGGGCUUUCCCAAGAGCUUUCCGCCAUUGGCCAGACUUUGAAAGCGCUGUAGGAACGAUAAGGAAGCCGAGGCUUAGAAAAAUAACCUGAUAAAUAUAAGCUUCCAUAUAGGAUCAAGCACAGCUAUCAGCACAAAGAGAAAAACCAACCACAGAAAAAAGAAAACAAGUACUUUUGACUACUGCUUGUCAGGACUUCUAAUACUAUGUUGAAUAAGAGUGGUGAAAGUGGGCAUCCUUGUCUUGUUCCUGAUCUCAACGGGAAGGCUGCAAGCUUUUUCCCAUUGAGGAUGAUCUCUUCGAUAUCAGCCACAGCAACUUCUUUCAAGAUAUGUCUCCAAAGGCAAAGGAAACAAAAGCGAAAAUAAACUUUUGGGACUUCAUCAAAAUCAAAAGCUUCUGCACAGCAAAGAAAACAGUCAAAAAAAUAAAGAGGCAACCCACGGAAUGGGACAAGAUAUUUGCAAAUGACAGUACAGACAAAAGGUUGAUAUCCAGGAUCUAUAAUGAACUCCUCAAACUCAACACACAUGAAACAGGCAAACAUAUCAAAACAUGGGCUGGAGAUAUGAACAGACACUUCUCCAGUCAAGACAUACAAAUGGCUAUCAGACACAUGAAAAAAUGUUCAUCAUCAUUAGCCCUCAGGGAGAUUCAAAUUAAAACCACAUUGAGAUAUCACCUUACACCAGUUAGAAUGGCCAAAAUGAACAAAACAGGAAACAACAUGUGUUGGAGAGGAUGUGGAGAAAGGGGAACCCUCUUACACUGUUGGUGGGAAUGCAAGUUGGUACAGCCUCUUUGGAGAACAGUGUGGAAAUUCCUCAAGAAAUUAAAAAUAGAACUUCCCUAUGACCCUGCCAUUGCACUACUGGGUAUUUACCCCAAAGAUACAGAUGUCGUGAAAAGAAGGGCCAUCUGUACCUCAAUGUUUAUAGCAGCAAUGGCCAUGGUCACCAAACUAUGGAAAGAACCAAAAUGCCCUUCAACAGACGAAUGGAUAAGGAAGAUGUGGUCCAUAUACACUAUGGAGUAUUAUGCCUCCAUCAGAAAGGAUGAAUACUCAACUUUUGUAGCAACAUAGACAGGACUGGAAGAGAUUAUGCUGAGUGAAAUAAGUCAAGCAGAGAGAGUCAAUUAUCAUAUGGUUUCAGUUAUUUGUGGA